rnacentral:rRNA from 1 species
CCUACGGGAGGCAGCAGUGGGGGAUAUUGCACAAUGGGCGCAAGCCUGAUGCAGCGACGCCGCGUGGGGGAUGACGGCUUUCGGGUUGUAAACCUCUUUCGUCGGGGGACAAGGCUCUGCUUGGUGGUGGGGUUGAGGGUACCCGGUGAAGAAGCGCCGGCUAACUACGUGCCAGCAGCCGCGGUAAUACGUAGGGCGCGAGCGUUGUCCGGAAUUAUUGGGCGUAAAGGGCUCGUAGGCGGCUUGUCGCGUCUGCUGUGAAAAUGCGGGGCUUAACUCCGUACGGGCAGUGGGUACGGGCAGGCUAGAGGGCGGGAGGGGUGACUGGAAUUCCUGGUGUAGCGGUGGAAUGCGCAGAUAUCAGGAGGAACACCGAUGGCGAAGGCAGGUCACUGGGCUGUUACUGACGCUGAGGAGCGAAAGCGUGGGGAGCGAACAGGAUUAGAUACCCGUGUAGUC